GGGCUCGUGGUCUAAUGGCAUGACAAUGCCCUUACAAGGCAUAGAUCGCCGGUUCGAUUCCGGCCGGGCCCA
rnacentral:tRNA from 1 species